rnacentral:rRNA from 1 species
CAGCAGCCGCCGCGGGAAUACGAAGGGUGCAAGCGUUAAUCGGAAUUACUGGGCGUAAAGCGUGCGUAGGCGGUUUGUUAAGUCUGUUGUGAAAGCCCUGGGCUCAACCUGGGAAUUGCAGUGGAUACUGGGUCACUAGAGUGUGGUAGAGGAUAGUGGAAUUUCCGGUGUAGCAGUGAAGUGCGUAGAGAUCGGAAGGAACAUCUGUGGCGAAGGCGACUAUCUGGGCCAACACUGACACUGAGGCACGAAAGCGUGGGGAGCAAACAGAAUUAGAGACCCCUGUAGUCCCUGUCUCUUAUAC